rnacentral:rRNA from 1 species
AUAUCAAUAAGCGGAGGAAAAGAAACUAACCAGGAUUCCCCUAGUAACGGCGAGCGAACCGGGAAUAGCCCAACUUGAAAAUCUCCUGUCUUCGGCAGGUGAAUUGUAGUCUAUAGAUCCGUUCUCUGCGUCCAGGUCGGCCCAAGUUCCCUGGAAAGGGACGUCGUAGAGGGUGAGAGCCCCGUAGGCCGGCUGGUGAUGCUCCACGAGGCGGAAUCAAAGAGUCGGGUUGUUUGGGAUUGCAGCCCAAAGUAGGUGGUGAAUCCCAUCUAAGGCUAAAUAAGGGCGAGAGACCGAUAGCGCACAAGUA